GCCCAUAGCUCAGUGGUUAGAGUGCUGGACUUCUGAUCAACAGGUCACGGGUUCGAGCCUCGUGUAGGGCA
rnacentral:tRNA from 1 species